rnacentral:rRNA from 1 species
AACGAACGCUGGCGGCAGGCUUAACACAUGCAAGUCGAACGCCCCGCAAGGGGAGUGGCAGACGGGUGAGUAACGCGUGGGAAUCUACCCAUCUCUGCGGAAUAGCUCUGGGAAGCUGGAAUUAAUACCGCAUACGCCCUACGGGGGAAAGAUUUAUCGGGGAUGGAUGAGCCCGCGUUGGAUUAGCGAGUUGGUGGGGUAAAGGCCUACCAAGGCGACGAUCCAUAGCUGGUCUGAGAGGAUGAUCAACCACAUUGGGACUGAGACACGGCCCAAACUCCUACGGGAGGCAGCAGUGGGGAAUAUUGGACAAUGGGCGCAAGCCUGAUCCAGCCAUGCCGCGUGAGUGAUGAAGGCCUUAGGGUUGUAAAGCUCUUUCACCGAUGAAGAUAAUGACGGUAGUCGGAGAAGAAGCCCCGGCUAACUUCGUGCCAGCAGCCGCGGUAA